UAUGUGCACUAGUUUUAUUGUUUUGUCUCUGUUAAAUAAAGUUGAUGAUAUUUUAGUAUAUUUGUUCUUGUGAUCCAAAUUAUUUGUCUCUCUGAAGUAGCAGUCAGCAGGUUAGUCUGUUAUUUUCCUUUGUAUUUUAUGUAUUAAUUUUUUAUUUGUAUUUUUGCUAGCUAAUUUGCAACUUUAUUUUGCUUUAAAGUGUCUAUUUUUUAUUUUUUUAAAUGCAAUUUUUUUUUCAUUUACUCAAUGAAUUUAUUACAUUUGUAGUUGUACAAUGAUCAUCACAAUCUAGUUUUACCUUACUUUUCCCCCUCUUCCUUCCUACACUAUGUCCCUGGAGGGCACAGACUGUUAACUUUAUAAACUAGUACCAAGCAUGGAGCUGGACACAUAUAGAUAUUGAAUACAAGCCGGUGGCUACAGCUCCAAUUCGACCCCUAGCCUGGGAGCCUCCAUAUGCCACAGGAGCGGCCCUUGAAAUGGCAAAAAGACCAAAAAAAAAAAAAAAUUCUUAGGGGUUCAGACCAAAUUAGAGAGAAAAACUCAAGAUUAAAUACCUCCAGUAUCUUGAAGAAAGCUGACUCGAAAGCGUUACUGCAUAUGGGUUGACAGAUGAGGACCACAAGAAAACAACGUUCAGUGGAAGGCCUAUGGAAGACAGUAGUGAUGAAAUUUUUUCUUCCUUUCCUGAGUUAUCUUUCUUUUUAUCAUCUAAAUCAGGAGUGAAGGCCUGCUUCCCAGCUCAGAGAGAAUUCUUUGGCCUAUUAAGAGAGGUCAGCAGUUUGUGUUUGUUUCCAGCAUGUAGGAUUCAGAAGUUUUCAUGUAAAAUCAGACUUGUCAUUGCUGCCGUUCCUAAUAAGGGCAUUAUUGCCAGAACCCCACCUUGCCUGCCUUAGCACCUCUUCCCUCCAUGUCCACAUUCAGUUACUUUGCCCCUCUGGCUCCGAUAGGUAUUUGAGUUCAUUACUUUUUUUUUUUGGAUGAUUAAAUGGUGUAUUUGUUUAAUGAUUAUGUGAAUGGGACAAAACCACAUUGUGAGAAACUGAGGGUCAUUGGCCCACUAGCCUAUGCAUUUGGGCAUUUAGAAUCUAGAUUAACUCUAAGACUGAGAGACAAAGAUUAGCACAAUGAACUGAAUUUUAUGUGCAAUGUGCUUUGUAGUGUAUGUUAAAUAAUAUUGCUUUAUGGUUUCCAAAAAGUAGUUCAUGAAGAUAGUUUAGGAGGAAUAUUUUUUCUCUCCUUCAUAGCCC
rnacentral:lncRNA from 1 species